CUAUGAACAAUAAGAAUGGAUUAGAGAAGCAUUUCUAAGAUGGAAUUUAUAACACUUGGAGAGAUAACUGGAUGUGUGAGGGGAAGGAGAGUCAGGGUACAGACAGACAAGAACUGUUUUACACAGUGACUGAACUGCGUACCAGAAGGGCAUCUGAAAUAAGUGGUAGCACUAUAUUAAGACAGUAUAUAGGAAACAUUCAUUAUCUGCAAGAAUCAUGGUAAGUUCUAAUUUUAUUUUACUUUAAAGCAGUACUAUAGAGGGCAAGAAGUCCGGGCCACAGAAUUUACUGGGUCUUAGUAUUACUAAACUUUGAUUUCCUAAACAAAAUGAAAUAACCAAGCCAAUAAAAGUGAAAUCCCUACUUCUCAAAAUGGGUCUUAGAAAAAAGUCAAUGAGAAACAAGACUUCAAUGGAGCAGUGAGGAGUAGAUCACGUUUUGACAGGCAGGGACAAGAAGAACUGUAAGACUGAUGUCAGUCCUGAGGUGUGACCAAUGUCACAUCCAGCCAGUUCAGACUCCAACUCCCA
rnacentral:lncRNA from 1 species